rnacentral:lncRNA from 1 species
CAGAGCACUCUGCAUAUGGAAGUCUGACUCAAAGUGCUUCUGUGUAAUUGGAAUGUACAGUUCACAGCACAUACAUAGCUGAUGGAGCGGUUUGUGGGAGGAUUCCUUUGCCUUACAUUUGUUCAUUGGCAUGGGACUGAAGCCUUGGCAUUGAGUGCCACACUUCUUGCAGUGAGGUAGGAACCUGUCAAAGCUUGGAAGGCCAUCUUAAAGGGUAACCCCACCUUUUCUUGAAGAAAAUCUUCACACUGUUUC